UUGGACUCAUGCAAGAUGUACUAAAUGCUAUAUAAACAUAGUAAACUAACUAAUAUUUUUGAAAUUUCUCAAUUUUUCAAUUUUUUUUAAUUUUUUUAUUUUAAAAAACUGAAUGCAAAAACUAAAUGUAACUAUACAAACUACAAUGUAAAUAAUUAACUAUAUGCAAUACGACACUAAAAUGCCCCCAAACUUAAACUAGAAAUUGUCCUCAAUGGCUGAAAUAGAAAAAAGUAAAGCAGAGGACUUCUCUGAAAAUAUAGCAAUCCUCCUCCUUGUCCGCUAAGUUUGGAGAAUAGAUUAGGCAAAUGGAACAAAUUGGGCACCACACUUGAAUUGGACUUGAAUAACAUUUUCAUAAUCGUUUGCCUAUCCAUUGAACCUCCAAUACCUGCAAUUAAGAGAGACAACGUGGAUUAGAAUAGCACUUUGGAUUGGUAAGAGAACUUAAUAAGGAAAUUAAUUCCUAUCUACUAAAUAAACUAGUAAAGCAUAUAAAUAUAAAAAUUCAUGGGUUGCCUCCCAGUUAGCGCUUGAAUUACAAUAUUUCAGCCUGACUUUGUCUGGUCGACGCUAUCCAAUUCCUCUUCAAUAAUUGAGGAACCCUCCAUCCAUCAAAAAUAAUAUAGAUUUUGGUAGGUUGCCAUUUGUGAUGGCCAAUGCAUCAAAGUCGCCUAGCAUGCUCUGAUUUGGUAUGAUCUC
rnacentral:lncRNA from 1 species